UUCAGCACCGACCCAACGAGAGAAUCUCCUCCCAAUCCAAAAAUCCAUCCAUGAGAGCCGCUCCUGCUUAUUCCCCUCAAUCGACCGCAUAGCCCAGUCUCCAUCACCUUCCUUGGACUAGUCCAGACACCACAGGCAACCAAGGUCGCAACCUCGCUCUUGUGGCCGAGUGCCCGGCGACCCCAGCUCCGCCCCGUCUGCAAAUGCCGGGGAGCCGCACGAGCUCGCUCCGCUGCCGCGCCCUCAAGCAAUCCUCGUCCGCGGCGACCGAAACCUCAAGCCAUAGCCUCACAUGGAUAGGAGUGCCACAUCCCGCCGUGGUACCCAGCGCCUCCGCCGGAGGGCUGCCUGAUUCCGUCGGAGCUGCUCCCCGCCACUCUAGCACCGACACCGUUGCCUCGAACCGCCGCGAGAGCACGUCCCACCGCCAUCUAUGCCCUAGCCAGUAGCAGCAGGUCCACAAGCCCCCCGCGCCGUACUCUCCUUACCCCAUCUCUCUUUCAUGUCGCACUCUCUCUAUGUCCCGAUUGCGCAGGAAGCCACCGUGGAUGGGCACAAAGCUUCAACGCCCUUGCUCCCGCCCCGUCCAGCUCGCUCGUGCACGCCAGCCCCGCCUCCGAGCUCCUCCCAUGGCGUGGCUGCGGUUCCCUUUGCUUCAGUCGAAGCGCGUCGUAGCCAGCAGAUGGGCCACCAGGACGACUUCGCCCCAAGGGUCUCCCGAGGCUGCAAAAGCAGCAAGCUCCGCCGCCCACGACUAGAUCCGCCGGCGUGCUUGUCGAUCCGGCCGCCCCAGUAUCGCCAUGGCUGUCGGCCCCUUCGUUUCCGCAGUGAGCAAGUCCGUUCAUAGCUGAAACUCGGUUUCUGUUUCAAGUUUCGCCAGUCAACGCCUUGUAUGGGUUAUGAAGUGCUAAUUUGUUUCUGUUAUCGACGUUCUAGUGUAGCGUACUCGUCAUUCAUGCAUGCAUGCAUCCGCGAGGUUCUGUGUUUGAGUCCUGCACGCACCAAUUUUUUCCUGGUUUCUGUAUUUGUUUCUCUUUGCACCCAUGCUCACACUACACAACGGAGAACCUGCACCUUUGAAACAUAGAUAGAGUUAGCUCAGUGGCUUAGUGUUGAUCAUUUAGGCCAGGUGAUCUGGGGUUCAAAUCCCACACACACCCAUUUUUGGUUUGUAUUUUAUUUUGUUAUUCGGUGCCCCUGUUUGCUAUAGGUUCAGAUCCGUUUAACUAGAUGGAUUAUCCUGUGUACCCCUUUCCACGAUGAGCAGCUAGUCAUUCCAGUUGGUUGUCCCAUUGAGCCAACAUCGUCCCCACGGCCUCUCUUUUAUUUUCACCCUGUGUAUUUAUUUUUGUUUUGCAUGCACGUUGCAUUCUUGUCAUAUGAUCUUGUGUGGCCCGUAUCUUUUAGGCCGUAACUCCGUUGGAGAUGAGCUAUAUGUGUAUACCGACUAGGAUAACGUGUAGUAUCACAUGCUUCACCUCUUUCAUGUUAACAACAUUUUAAAAGUGUCGUGUACCUAAACGGGAGUGAACUAAAUAAUCCAUAUGUGGAGUUUCAUCAAUAUGCAACUCGUUGCAUAUUGAGCUUCACUUAAUAUGUAGUGCUUGGCUGUUGUGAAUUGUCAUGCCACGCCUUGCAUAAUUGAAAUGAACAUGCAUCAUAUUAGGUUGUACAUCAUAUCGUGCAUGUGCUGUGUUGAAUGUGUCUUGUGUUGACUCUUGUCUCCAGUUUGCUUCGUCUCGAUAGAGUUCCGUAAGCGUGUUGGAAUGAGAGGAUCCAUUCGACUACGUCGGUUUGUCUGCUUCACGGGUUCGUUCUUCUUCCAAGCAGGAUCACAGACAAGAUGAUCAUUUCCCAAGAUACCAUUACUAUCAGUGCCAUGCUAGUUGUAUCAUUUCUUUUCUUAUGUCUCGUUGCCUACCAUCUGUUAAAUGUCAGCCUCUCAACAUUGACAUGAAACCUUCAACCUUUCUACAACCUAGCAAACCACUGAUUGGCUAUGUUACUGCUUGCUUAACCGUGUGUUAGCAUUGCUAUUUGCAGGUGUCUUCCAUGUGAUAACAUGGGUUCCUUGUUAUAGCACCAUAUUAUUGCUAAUUAAGUUAAUGCACCUAUAUACUUGGUAAAAGGUGGAAGGCUUGGCCAUCUAGGCUGGUGUUUUGUUGCACCUUUGCCGCCUUAGUUUCGGCUACAGAGGUUAGGUUACAUAAAUGAGUGCUCCUAACAUGCUUGGGGUUCUUAUGGGGACCCCCUUGACUUUCGUUGUGGGAUAAAGCUCAUCUGGCAAGGCCCAACAUUAGUACUAUAUUUGCCAACAUAAUAAUACUGAUAAGUAAUUUGCUGCGUAGGGAGUUAGCGCUACCCGAGGAGUAAUUAAACAUAAUACAUGAGGGGCAAUGUUGCUGGUGUUGGUCCCAAACAUUGACACUUACGGGUCCAAUCGGGGCAACUCGGGGGAUUUCUAUCCAGCCACUAUAGAUAUUGCUCAUCCGUCGUAACCUAAGAAUGAGAUAUGCGGCUCCUAUCGGGAUCGUCGACAUGCGGGGCGGCCUUGCUUGACUUGUUUUGACUUUCUCGAGCGUCUUCUGUGAAGGAUUCCGAGGAUUCUUUGGGCUAUCUCGAGGUUGAGGUUUUCCAAUAGGAACCCGAGGAGAUGAUGGGUUUUUCCUGAUCGAGGUUAUUCUAUCGCAGCGUGUGGUAGUUUGUGAUGGACUAGUUGGAGCACCCCUGCAGAGUUAAAUCUUUCGGAAAGCCGUGCUCGCGGUUAUGUGGCAAACUUGGAAACUUUGUUUAACAUCCGGUUCUAUAUAACAUGAAGUAAACUUAAUUAAAACUUGCCAAUUGUGUGCGUAAACGUGACUAUCUCUUCUAGUGAGUUUUGUAUCCGGAAGAGAACACGGUGGGGUUAUGUUUGACGUAAGUAGGUAUUUAGGAUCAUUCAUUUGAUCAUCAGUAGUUCACGGACAUUAUGCGUAGAUCAUCCCCCUUUUAUUCUUGUACUUGUAAGUUAGCCACCUCAAAUAAAUGCUUAGUCGCUUGCUGCAGCCUCAUCACUUAACCAUACCUUACCCAUUAAGCUUUGCUAGUCUUGAUACCUUUGGAAAUGAGAUUGUUGAGUCCCCAUGGCUCCCAGAUUACUACAACUACAUUUUCAGGUACAUGUACAGUAAUACUUUGACGUGAGCACGAUGAUGGUUCUAUUUGGAGUUUCUCCUUCUUCUCCUUCAUCGAUCUAGGAUGGGUUCCAGGCCGGUAGCCUGGGAUAACAAGGAUGUACAUCGUUCUUUUAUCGUUCGUUUUCGUCCAUAGUCGGACCCUUCUCUUAUUCAUGACGACUAUAUGUUGUUGUACUGAUGUGAAAUUGUUGUAGCUUGUGGCAAGUGUAAGCCAAUUUCAUAUACUCAUCUCUUGAGUACUUGUACAUGUAAUGAUAUCCAGUCUUGCGAAACGACGUGAUAC
rnacentral:lncRNA from 1 species